AGGUAUUUUUCUCUAACAACAGAUGACUUGGAGAUAGUCUAGAGUCCUGAAUCUUUGCAUCAUGAGGAGGAUAUGGUUAAGUGGACAGAAAGUUAAGGCCAUGGGCUCAAGCUUUAUAGGCUGUUCUGUUUGAAAACCACAGCUAGGUUGGUGCAUAUCUCUCUGUUUUCACAUGGGUUUAUCAAAAUGUUAUUGGUUCUUGAAUGCUUAUGUGAUCUUGAUUUAUCAUUGACUGAAAUAACUCCAAGAGAUUAUCUACAUUGAUUCCCAUUUGUUUCUUCAAUUCGAAAUUUAACUGCUAUAUUGUCAUACUCAUUCAAAUCAGAAAGUUACUUCUUUUGUAACAAUGGAGAAAUAAUCCUUUUACUAUAUGCUAAACUGAUAUGUGAUCAUUGCCCUUUCCCUUUUUUUAUUCGUCACAUUUUCUGGAUGUCAGGAAGACGACUGCAUAAUCAAGCAAGUUGGGAGACCUGGUGCUAAAUGAUUGUCUAUUCUUGCAGAGUUCUUACCAGGGUGAGUUAUACUGUGAAAACUCACUUCCAGAUCUUGAGAGAACCACUGAAAUGCAUGAUAAUAUGCAAAUUAGUUUGGUUUCCAAUUUAUAGGCAUGCUGUUUGCAUUUCAUUUAUAUUGAUAUAUACCUUAUAGAGAGCACCUUACAAUUACUGUCUGGCCAGAGGAAAGCCAAUACUCAGUUGAGUGAUUGUGGCAAAUCCUGUCAAGCAACGAGAAACUCAAUGGCGAAUCAAGUCAAGCAAUGAGGAGCUGAAUGGCAGUUAAUGGUGAAUAGCACGGUGGAGCUCAAUGAAAUUCUGUAUUUUUUCUCUUUUCCAAAUGAGUUUUUGAUUUUUAAUAUCAUAACUGUAAUAUUCUUGUUAAAAAGGUUCACCACUUGCAAUACUUGGUCUAUUUUCAAUAUGAAAAUAUUAAUGUAAUAGUCCCGAGGAUAGGUCCACCACUU
rnacentral:lncRNA from 1 species